rnacentral:rRNA from 1 species
UAGGGAAUAUUGCAAAAUGGGCGAAAGCCUGAUGCAGCAACGCCGCGUGUGCGAUGAAGGCCUUCGGGUCGUAAAGCACUUUUCGAUGGGAUGAGGAAGGACAGUACCAUCGGAAUAAGCCUCGGCUAACUACGUGCCAGCAGCCGCGGUAAAACGUAGGAGGCGAGCGUUAUCCGGAUUUACUGGGUGUAAAGCGCGUGCAGGCGGAACGGAAAGUUGGAUGUAAAAGCUCCCGGCUUAACUGGGAGAGGUCGUUCAAAACUACCGAUCUAGAGUACAGUAGAGGGAAGUGGAAUUCCGGGUGUAGUGGUGAAAUGCGUAGAUAUCCGGAGGAACACCAGUGGCGAAAGCGGCUUUCUGGACUGAAACUGACGCUCAGACGCGAAAGCUAGGGUAGCAA